rnacentral:lncRNA from 1 species
AUUCCUUCCUGCCAACUCUGUGUCACCUUUAUUGCUGCCACCUGACACAGCAGAAAUGUCCCCAAAAUGAAACCCAGCCGGCUGACAUCCAGAGAGUGACUCCACGUACUUUUUUGAGAGAAGUCUCAUUAUACAACCCAGACUACCCUUGAACUCGCAAUCUUCCUGCCUCAGUUUCAAGAGGGAUGGUAGCACAGUGGCAACACACGCUGGUAAUCCUGGCAUUAAGGUGAUUGAGGCAGAGGAAAGUGAGUUCCAGGCCAGCCUGGGAGCAGCCAACUGGUGACUGGAGCCGGGCGUGGUGGUGCACGCCUUUAAUCCCAGCACUUGGAAGGCAGAGGCAGGUGGAUUUCUGAGUUUGAGGCCAGCCUGGUCUACAAAGUGAGUUCCAGGACAGCCAGAGCUACAGAGAAACCCUGUCUCGGAAAAAAACAAAAACAAAAACAAAAACAAAAAAAAAAACUCAAAAGCUGGUGACUGGAACUGCAGUAUAUGAAAGUGUAGCUAGGAACGUUUGCCACGUCUCGCACCAUUGAACCCUGCCGCUUACCAGUCUCUUUGUUGGUUUGCUUUAGAAGCAAAUCUAAGUGAGAAGUUUACAUAGAGAAAUGGACUGAGUAAAAAAGAAAUC